CAAAAUCUCGAUGUGAGUUCCCUCUGGCCUCCUCAGGGAGGAGGGUGAAUACUGUGUGCCUCUGCCCACCCACCCCCACCCCCAGGAGCUGCAGAAGCAGGCAGAGAUGAUGGAGUUUGAGAUCUCCCUGAAAGCCCUCUCCGUGCUUCGAUACAUCACAGAUUGCAUGGAUAGGUGGGCCACCCUCCAGGUCCUGGGCACACGAUAAAGGGUUGUGCGUCCUGGCCCGUAGCCUCUCUAACCAACCGCCCUUCUCCCGAACCCCUAGCCUCUCCCUGAGCACACUGAACCGAAUGCUUACCACACACAACUUGCCCUGCCUCCUGGUGGAACUGCUAGAGCACAGUCCCUGGAGCCGGCGGGAAGGAGGUAAGGCUCUCUUCCCCCUACUUGCCUAAGACUGUAACUGGUUGCUUCCGGAACCUCCUUCAAGAUCAAUGGAAGUGUACAGCAUACACACUGAGGAUUCUGGGAUGCCUCACCCUAGAGGGGACUAGAUUUUGACUCUGAGGCAGGCAAGGCCUCUGAGUCAUUUAUUGAAAAUCAACCUUGUUCUGACAAAUCUGGUGGUCCAGGCUUUCAAACGAUGCCAGGUAAGGACAACACACUCUCUUUUUUUUUUCUUUUUUCUUUCUUUCUUUUUUUUUCCGGUGCUGGGGACCAAACCCAGGGCCUUGCGCUUGCUAAGCAAGCGUUCUACCACUGAGCUAAAUCCCCAACCCCAGGACGACACACUCUCAAAGUGAACACAACACCUCAUUCUCCUCCCCAGGCAAGCUGCAGCAUUUUGAGAGUGGCCGAUGGCAGACAGUGGCCCCCUCAGAGCAUCAAAAGCUGAACAAACUGGAUGGGCAAGUAUGGAUCGCCUUGUACAAUCUACUGCUCAGUCCUGAGGCCCGAACCCGUUACUGCCUUACAAACUUUGCCAAGGGACAGCUGCUUAAGGUGGAGAACUCAAAGACCCUACCCAUCCCCACUGUGCCCCGCCCAGCCCCGCCCCGCCCCGCCCCCAUAGCAUCCCUGUCUGUCCCCGCCCUCUUUCCACCACUUGGGCUUCAGAGGACAAGGGAGUUGGAAAGAUGCAAACCCUCCCAAGUACUCUCAGCCCCAACUUCAGGACUUCCUGUCUUUGGGCCCUCUGGCUAGGAACAGUUUCCCAAUGGCCUUCCCUGGAUACCUUGCAGCUUCAGGCCUUCCUCACCGACACACUGCUUGACCAGCUGCCCAACCUUGCUGAUCUGAAGAGUUUCCUGGCCCACCUGGCCCUGGUUGAAACUCAACCCCCUAAGAAGGACCUAGUGUUAGAACAGAUCCCAGAAAUCUGGGAUCGGCUGGAGCGAGAGAACAAAGGCAAGUGGCAGGCUAUCGCCAAGCACCAGCUUCAGCACGUAUUCAGCCUCUCCGAGAAGGAUCUUCGCCAACAAGCACAGAGGUGGGCUGAAACCUACAGGCUGGACGUCCUAGAGGCUGUAGCUCC
rnacentral:lncRNA from 1 species